rnacentral:rRNA from 1 species
UACGUAGGGUGCGAGCGUUUGUCCGGAAUUAUUGGGCGUAAAGGGCUCGUAGGCGGUUUGUCGCGUCGGGAGUGAAACCUUGGGCUUAACUCAGGGCUUGCUUUCGAUACGGGCAGACUGGAGUACUGCAGGGGAGACUGGAAUUCCUGGUGUAGCGGUGAAAUGCGCAGAUAUCAGGAGGAACGACCGGUGGCGAAGGCGGGUCUCUGGGCCGAUACUGACGCUGAGGAGCGAAAGCGUGGGGAGCGAACAGG